AUCAUCAGCAUCACCUGUGUGCUGCCAGACUUGCAGUGUCUUGAGCUUCACCUUAGACCUCAGGGAUCAGACUGUAGUUUAACUGGAUCCCCAGGUGGUUCUUAUGCAAGUUGAUGUUUGAUAUGCUCUGCUCUGCUCUGGAAAACGAUAGCAGGAAAGCAUGAUAAGCUGAGAUGUGGGCCAUGAGCUCCAGGACCUAUUUCAGAUUUUAGUUACAGCUGUGGGUGUGAUACAUCACUCAAGAGUAUGAAGACCUGAGCUUUUACAUCUGUAGCUUCUUUCCUCUGUGUCUUUAGUCCUCUUCCCAGUAGUAACUGCUCUCGAAAGUGAGCAUAGGAGAAUCUUCUGCAAUUGUGAAUGAAGUUGAUAUGGGAAACCA